rnacentral:rRNA from 1 species
GAUGAACGCUAGCGAGAGGAGGAACACAGGCAAGUCGAGGGGCAGCACAAGGUAGCUUGCUAUCUGGGUGGCGACCGGCGCACGGGUGCGUAACGCGUAUGCAACUUGCCCUAUACAGGAGGAUAACCCGUCGAAAGACGGACUAAUACUGCGUAUGCUCACAACUUGGCAUCAAGUGGUGAGGAAAGAAAUUCGGUAUAGGAUAGGCAUGCGUCCCAUUAGCUUGUUGGUGAGGUAACGGCUCACCAAGGCAACGAUGGGUAGGGGAACUGAGAGGUUUAUCCCCCACACUGGUACUGAGACACGGACCAGACUCCUACGGGAGGCAGCAGUGAGGAAUAGUGGUCAAUGGGCGCGAGCCUGAACCAGCCAAGUCGCGUGAAGGAUGACUGUCUUAUGGAUUGUAAACUUCUUUUAUACGGGAAUAACAAGAGUCACGUGUGACUCCCUGCAUGUACCGUAUGAAUAAGCAUCGGCUACCUCCGUG